GAUGAACGCUAGCGGCAGGCUUAAUACAUGCAAGUCGAGGGGCAGCACGGUAGCAAUACUGGUGGCGACCGGCGCACGGGUGCGUAACACGUAUACAAUCUGCCUUUAACUGGGGGAUAACCUUUCGAAAGAGAGACUAAUACCCCAUAAUAGUAGAGAAGGCAUCUUCUUUAUUUGAAAGCUCCGGCGGUUAAAGAUGAGUAUGCGGAUGAUUAGCUAGAUGGUGAGGUAACGGCUCACCAUGGCGACGAUCAAUAGGGGAUCUGAGAGGACUACCCCCCACACUGGUACUGAGACACGGACCAGACUCCUACGGGAGGCAGCAGUAAGGAAUAUUGGACAAUGCUCGCAAGAGUGAUCCAGCCAUGCCGCGUGCAGGAAGACGGCCCUAUGGGUUGUAAACCGCUUUUG
rnacentral:rRNA from 1 species